rnacentral:rRNA from 1 species
GACGAACGCUGGCGGCGUGCUUAACACAUGCAAGUCGAACGAUGAACCCGGAGCUUGCUCCGGUGGAUUAGUGGCGAACGGGUGAGUAACACGUGAGUAACCUGCCCUUGACUCUGGGAUAACUGCGGGAAACUGUAGCUAAUACCGGAUACGACCCUCGGCGGCAUCGCCAGGGGGUGGAAAGAAUUUCGGUCAAGGAUGGAAUCGCGGCCUAUCAGCUAGUUGGUGAGGUAACGGCUCACCAAGGCGACGACGGGUAGCCGGCCUGAGAGGGUGAACGGCCACACUGGGACUGAGACACGGCCCAGACUCCUACGGGGGGCAGCAGUGGGGAAUAUUGCACAAUGGGCGCGAGCCUGAUGCAGCAACGCCGCGUGAGGGAUGACGGCCUUCGGGUUGUAAACCUCUUUUAGUAGGGAAGAAGCGAAAGUGACGGUACCUGCGGAAAAAGCACCGGCUAACUACGUGCCAGCCGCCGCAGUAA